rnacentral:rRNA from 1 species
UAGGGAAUCUUCGGCAAUGGGGGGAACCCUGACCGAGCAACGCCGCGUGAGUGAAGAAGGUUUUCGGAUCGUAAAGCUCUGUUGUUAAGGAAGAACGAGUGUGAGAAUGGAAAGUUCAUACUGUGACGGUACUUAACCAGAAAGGGACGGCUAACUACGUGCCAGCAGCCGCGGUAAUACGUAGGUCCCGAGCGUUGUCCGGAUUUAUUGGGCGUAAAGCGAGCGCAGGCGGUCAAUUAAGUCUGAUGUGAAAGCCCCCGGCUCAACCGGGGAGGGUCAUUGGAAACUGUUUAACUUGAGUGCAGAAGGGGAGAGUGGAAUUCCAUGUGUAGCGGUGAAAUGCGUAGAUAUAUGGAGGAACACCGGUGGCGAAAGCGGCUCUCUGGUCUGUAACUGACGCUGAGGCUCGAAAGCGUGGGGAGCGAACAGG